rnacentral:rRNA from 2 species
UGGGGGAAGGCCGGGGUCUGAAAAGGGCCAGCCUAUAAUGGAGUCGAGCGAAAACAGAUGAGAAGCAUUUCUUCUCUUGAUGUUAGCGGGGCGGACGGGUGUAGUAACACGGUGGGUACCCUAUCCUAUAGGGGGUGGGAUAACUUCGGGGAAACCGGGGGCUAAUCCCGGAUAAUAUUUUGAACCCGCAUGGUUCGAUAUUGAAAAAGACGUUUUUGGGUUUUCAAUUUAUAGAAUGGCCCCGGCGCCGUUUUUAGUUAGUUGGUAAGGGUAAGGGCUUUCCCAAGGGGGACGAUAUCGUAGCCGCCCCUGAGAGGGUGAUUGGCCCCACCUGGAAAUUGAGACCCGGUUCCAGAUUCCUUCGGGGAGGCAGCAGUAGGGAAUUUUUCCGCAAUGGGCGAAAGCCUGACGGAGCAACGCCGCGUGAGUGAUGAAGGUCUUCGGAUCGUAAAACUCUGUUGUUAGGGAAGAACAAAUUUGUUAGUAACUGAACAAGUCUUGACGGUACCUAACCAGAAAGCCACGGCUAACUACGUGCCAGCAGCCGCGGUAAUACGUAGGUGGCAAGCGUUAUCCGGAAUUAUUGGGCGUAAAGCGCGCGUAGGCGGUUUCUUAAGUCUGAUGUGAAAGCCCACGGCUCAACCGUGGAGGGUCAUUGGAAACUGGGAAACUUGAGUGCAGAAGAGGAGAGUGGAAUUCCAUGUGUAGCGGUGAAAUGCGCAGAGAUAUGGAGGAACACCAGUGGCGAAGGCGGCUCUCUGGUCUGUAACUGACGCUGAUGUGCGAAAGCGUGGGGAUCAAACAGGAUUAGAUACCCUGGUAGUCCACGCCGUAAACGAUGAGUGCUAAGUGUUAGGGGGUUUCCGCCCCUUAGUGCUGCAGCUAACGCAUUAAGCACUCCGCCUGGGGAGUACGACCGCAAGGUUGAAACUCAAAGGAAUUGACGGGGACCCGCACAAGCGGUGGAGCAUGUGGUUUAAUUCGAAGCAACGCGAAGAACCUUACCAAAUCUUGACAUCCUUUGACCGCUCUAGAGAUAGAGUCUUCCCCUUCGGGGGACAAAGUGACAGGUGGUGCAUGGUUGUCGUCAGCUCGUGUCGUGAGAUGUUGGGUUAAGUCCCGCAACGAGCGCAACCCUUAAGCUUAGUUGCCAUCAUUAAGUUGGGCACUCUAGGUUGACUGCCGGUGACAAACCGGAGGAAGGUGGGGAUAGACGUCAAAUCAUCAUGCCCCUUAUGAUUUGGGCUAACACACGUGUUACAAUGGGAUAAUACAAAGGGGCAGCGAAUCCGCGAGGCCAAGCAAAUCCCCAUAAAAUUUUUCUCAGUUCGGAUUGUAGUCUGCACCUCGACUACCUGAAGCUGGAAUCGCUCGUAAUCGUAGAUCAGCAUGGUCCCGGUGAAUACAAUUUCUCGGGUCUUGUAACACCCCGCCCGUCACACCACGAGAGUUUUGUAGCACCCGCAGCCCGGUGGAGUAACCUUUUAGGAGCUGGCCGUCGAUUGGGGUCAAAAUGGAGUUGGGGG